CAACACAACCAGGUAUCCAAUCGGCUCUCUCCUCUUCCUUCUCAAUGGCAAUGCCACCUCCUCUCUCGGCAGUCGGCUCUCGUCUUUUUAGCUACCUCUUGGAGAUUCGAUCAUGGCAGCUCCCUAAUACGCUUGCUUCUAAUGCUUCGUAACUCCUAUUCGAAACCGCACUCCCUUCUACUCCAUUUUUGGUUUUCAUUCUCCUGUUCGAGAAUCACUCUUUGUUGGGUGUUGGCUGUCAAAUCUUCGCCUUUGUGGAGACAAGAGCCUAAAAAUCCGAUCUUUUUGAUGCACUGUUGCUCAAUUUCUCAUUUCGCCAUCAGAUACGAAGGAAAUGGAUGCGAGAUUGUAGUGGCGGAGACCUGAUGCUCCUGAGCCAAAAAAUGUCGUCCUUCGGCGAUAUCCAUCAUUAAUUACAUCCAAUUGUCUUAGUGUUGCUGGUUUUAGGGUUGAUGGGUAGAGGUACAGGAAAGGGGAAGAAAUUGACUCUGUCCAGUUAUAAUGAGGAUCCAAAGAGUGGCGGUGAAGAGCUUCUCCCUGCGUAUAAGAGGAAAAAUAGGCCUCAAAAGCCUUUGAACGAUGACAUCGAUGAAGACGCUGAGCAAACUGAAGAAGGAGAAGAUGAUUUAAAGCUUAGUGCACUGAACGAAGAGGUUAAGGUCCUAACCAUGGUGAACGGGAAGAAGAGGAAGCUUCUUUCAAAAGCAAAAGAAAUCCCUGAAUUACUGGAAACAGAAAAUGGUUCUGGAUCUAAGACUAAGGAGCAUUCAACUUGUUCUAAUAGUUUUCGACGCAUUGGCAGCCGGCGGAAAAGUAAGCCUCGUAGGGCAGCUGAGGCCGGAGUAAGUGAGAAUUUCUACCAAUUUUGCUGAGCUCUUGUAUCGGUCCAUAUACAACUAUGGCUGAUGUUUGUGAUCCGAGGUGGUUCGCCCUUUCUUCCCCCCAUUCAUUUGCUUGACAUGAAUUAGCUUGGGUUUAAAUAAUAGCUAUACCAUGUAAUCUUCUAUGCUCAUAAAGCUAGAUUCAAGCUUUAGUUGAGUCUCUUUUUUCUAAGAAUCUU